GGAAAAUGAAAAUGCAAACCAACCACUACCUUAAUCUUUUUUUUUUUUCUUUUUUUGAUAACGCAGGUGUCGGGACUUCGCUCGAUUAAUCUUAAGGAGUAGCGACUUUCCCCCCUUGUUCACCACACGGGUAAAUUGGAUGCGGUCACAGCUUAUACAUACUUGGGUCGGAUAUUCGAAAUUCAAUUCUCCUUCCUAUGGACCCCCUUUACGACGUGAGGAUGAGACUCCUAGAGGGACGACAGAGCGUACCAUAAUGCUUGGGGAAGGGAGGGGAGAUCUUACUGUUGCUUAGAGUAGCCCAAGUACUUACAUGUGGAUUGUUGUAUUCAUUUUUAAGUAAUAUGCAAAUUUACCUUAAUACCAGUAUUAUUAUUGUACUCGAGCAUAGAAUGAAAAAGAUUUUAAUAUCUUUUCUUAA
rnacentral:lncRNA from 1 species